UUUUCCCCAUCAGAUCGACCAUGUUGAUC
rnacentral:piRNA from 1 species